CCUACGGGUUGCAGCAGUGGGGAAUAUUGCACAAUGGGCGCAAGCCUGAUGCAGCCAUGCCGCGUGUAUGAAGAAGGCCCUAGGGUUGUAAAGUACUUUCAGUCGGGAGGAAGGCAUUGAUGCUAAUAUCAUCAACGAUUGACGUUACCGACAGAAGAAGCACCGGCUAACUCCGUGCCAGCAGCCGCGGUAAUACGGAGGGUGCAAGCGUUAAUCGGAAUUACUGGGCGUAAAGCGCACGCAGGCGGUUGAUUAAGUUAGAUGUGAAAUCCCCGGGCUUAACCUGGGAAUGGCAUCUAAGACUGGUCAGCUAGAGUCUUGUAGAGGGGGGUAGAAUUCCAGGUGUAGCGGUGAAAUGCGUAGAGAUCUGGAGGAAUACCGGUGGCGAAGGCGGCCCCCUGGACAAAGACUGACGCUCAGGUGCGAAAGCGUGGGGAGCAAACAGGAUUAGAUACCCUUGUAGUC
rnacentral:rRNA from 1 species